AAGCACUGGCCAGAGGUGCCUCCACAAGUGGAGGAUAUUUUGGCAUAGAUUCAGAGCCAAGGGGUGCAGGGAUAGGUGUCAAAUUCCAGCACCAGCUGUGAUGAUGCAUUCCAUAGAUCUAUGUGGGGUUACGGGUACCAUGGAUCGAGAUUUUGGGGAGACCAUAUCAGAUGGAUUAUUUAUAGCAAGAGAGGAUCUAGAUACCUAUGAGGAGGUGGUGACGAGCCUCGGAUGAGAUAGGUGGAUCUGAGCCUUGGGAGAGGUUUGAGCUAUAGUUCCUUCGAAUGAAGUUGAAGCGAUGGUUGGUGCAGGGGCAGAAGAGGAUAAUGGCUAGGAUGGAAUUUUUUAGGGUU
rnacentral:lncRNA from 1 species